UUCCCACAGGUUGGCAGGAGGAGGGGAGAGAUUCCCACUUCCCACAGGUUGGCGGGAGGCAGGGAAGGAGCCCCCACUUCCCAGAGGUUUCACGGAGCGGCCGAGAAAAGCUGGACUCGCAGAGGAGGGGGUAAGCGCCUCCACCUCCUAUGUUCCAUCUGUGGCAGGUUUUUUCAAGAUUUUAAGUGAGGAACGGCUCCCGGACUCCCGGGGCCGCUCCGCAAACGAGGAGGUCACGGCACCCGUGACAGAAGAGAGGGACUGGCCGCUCUGAAAGGAGCCGAGGUGACUGCUGCCAUUGCCCUGGUAAUGGCCAUGGGGCGGGGAGCGGUCCUUGCUCCGAUGUGGGCAGGCUCGCUCCCCGCCCCUGGGCCCCGCCCGUGCCGGCCCGGAGCGGGCCGAGAGUGUGAAAUCUGCGAGUGGGAGCCUCAGAGCCUCAACACCCUGGGCCGCAGCGAUUUUGCUGCUGCGGGGGACGGGAGAACAGGCAGAGUUGAGCCGCUCGAGGAAGCUGAUGUCACCUUUGUAGGCGGGGGCGACUGUACCGCAGUUUCCACAGUAACGAGUUUUGUUUUAGAGAGGCCCGAGAGCGGCUCUGCCCGCAUCGCGCGUCCGUCCCCGGGCCCUGCGGCGGGCAGCGAGCGCUCUUUGUCUGCGCUGUUAGACAAACAAAACGAAAACACCGGGCCCAAGGAACAGGGAGCCGUUUUCCAAGCUUCUUAAAACAGGCUUUAAGUAAGCAGAGUCCUGUAUUAACAAAUACCUUAGAAUGGAAACUGAGCCAAGAUAACUGAAAAGGCUGUUAGUGCCAGAAGGGUUGAUAUAAAACCAGACACUGAGGGCACCUGCAUUUUCUGAAGGUUAGAUGGAAUCAGGGUGUUUCUGGUUUAAUUCCAACAUCUCUUAUAAGUUCCUUAUGAGCAGCAUUGCUUACUUUGCAGAGGCAAGACAAGAGCCAAGCAAAUCCAGAACACAGUUAAAUAGCUACACCAGGAUUUACUGACAGAAAGGGGACUUGGAUACUGCUGUCACAUCCACUUGGAAUCUGUCCAAGCAGCCCGGCUAAAGGGGAGCGACAGGCAGCGGGGGGGGCACCCCUGUGUGAUUCCACAGAUCUCCGGGUAGUGCCUCUGGAGGAACAACACUGAAGUAAAGAGGCUGACUGUUGUUGGGGGUAACAGUCCAGAAGUUUAUUAGGGACUCUUCCAAGCCCAAACUGCUUCCAGGAAAACCAACCAGCAAGAGCCCCAAGAGCGCCUCGACAACAUUUUAUAAACAGGGGAGGGGAAAGGGGAGGGGAAGUCUCAACGGCCAAUUGGGUAAACUUGAGGAGUGGUUCCCAGGAUAAUUGAUAGGGGUAACAACAUAUCAGGGAAGAUCAGGGGAGGGACCCUGGUUCUCGUCCAGUCACUCGACGCCCUUGAUGGAAGUUUCCAAACGGUUGGGAUGGGACAUCAGCUGACAGACAAGGCACCAAGAAACCAGGGAGGGGACACAGGAAUGACUAAGCAUCUAUGCUGAGUCAGGGGUCAGACUUAGGGAGGAUGAGGUGACUUAGGACUUAGGACAUGGGUGAGACCAUUGGGGUAAAAAUGGGGUACAGGAAUAAACCAUUCAUAUAACAUAGGCAUAACCAAACACAAUACAACAACUCCACCUUUUUGUUUUAAAAAGGAAGGAGGAAGCACUUAAUUCUAAAAAGAAGUGAACUCAACAUGGGGCAGGUAUUCAGAAUCUGGAUGUAAAUCUCCAAACCAUGGUUGUUGAGUUGGAGCCAUUUCUUGCUGGUAGCUCUUCUGAUGGUGUUUCUUCUGGUGGUGUAGAGAUGGAAACUUGGUUUACUUCCACAAGUGGUGUUAACUAAAUUAACGAUCAUUCUUUUUAGAACAAUACAAUAAACCCAACAAUAGUGAUUAAAAGAAUAAACAAAACUAAAAUUCCAGUUCGAAAUAAAGAUUGAACAGUCGGGUGACAGACAAGGCACCAGGGAGGGGACACAGGAAUGACUAAGCAUCUAUGCUGCGUCAGGGGGCAGACUUAGGGAGGAUUGACAUUGGUGAGACCAUUGGGGUAAAAAGGGGUUACAGGGAUAAACCAUUCAUACAACA